AGGCCUAACGGCGUCUCGCCGGCUCCAAGACAACGGACCGCCUCUGGUACGACGUCUACGGCGGGCGCCGAGACCCAAAGUUCCUCGAGGCUGGAUCUCAGCUGACUGGAGCAAGAGAGACUCUCCUGCUUGCCUUGAAGAAGCCACCUGCUAUGAUGCCGCCUUUAGGGCCAGCGGUCUCACGUCCUAUAGGUGCAAGGAGCUGAAAUCUGCCAACAACCUGAAUGACCUUGGAAGCAGAUCUUUCCCCGGGAAAACUUCUGAUGAGGCCUUAGCCCCAGGAAAUAUCUGGAUUGAAGCCUGGUUGUGACCCUAAGCAGAAAACCCAGUGUCCAAGUUAUGAGAGAGCCACAUGUCUAGGAACUGAGGGCAGCCUUUAAGAGCUGAGAGCCAGCAAGAAAACAAUAACUCCAGUCAUCCAACCACAAGGAACCAGUUCUGUUAAGGAACCUGAUUGAGCCUGGAAGGGGACCCCAAACCUCACAUGAGAUCACAUCCCUGCAGACACCUUGAUGCCAGGGCUUCCCUGGUGGCACAGUGGUUAAGAAUCCACCUGCCAAUGCAGGGGACACAGGUUCGAGCCCUGGUUCUGGAAGAUCCCACAUGCCACGGAGCAACUAAGCCCGUGCACCACAACUACUGAGCCUGCGCUCUAGAGCCCGCAAGCCACAACUACUGAAGCCUGCGUGCCUAGAGCCCGUGCUCUGCAACAGGAGAAACCACCGCAAUGAGAAGCCUGCACACCGCCACAAAGAGUAGCCUCCGCUCGCUGCAACUAGAGAAAGCCCACACAUAGCAACGAAGACCCAAUGCAGCCAAAAAUAAAUAAAUAAAAUAAAUUUAUUUAAGAAAUUAUAUACUAUAUAUACUCCUCUGUAUCUGGCUUCUUUCAUUUUGCAGAAUGUUUUGAGGUUCAUCCAUAUUGAUACAUGUAUCAGUAAUUUGCUCCUUUUUACUGCUGUCUUAUUUUGCAUUCUAUGGAUAUACUGCAGUUUGUUUCACAUGUUGGACAUUUGGGUCAUUUCCAGUUAUCAUAAUAAAGUUGCCAAUAGCAAUCAUGCAUAAGUCUUUUUAUGGAUAUAGAUUUUAAUUUCUUUUGAGUAAAUUCCUAGGAGUGGAAUUACUGGGUCGUAUGGUAGGUGUAUUUUUAACUGCCAUCUGUUUUCCAUAACAGUUGUACCAUUUUACAUUCUCACCAACAAUGUAUCUCCAUCAUUUGUCAAUCUGUUCAAUUUUGCCAUUCCAUUGGGUACGUAGUGGUACCUCAUUAUGGUUUUAACAUGUAUUUCCCUGAUGACUAAUGGUAUUAAUCGUCUUUUCGUGUGCUGAUUGAACAUUUGUAAAUCCUUUUUGUAAAUUGUCUGUUUAUGUCAUUUCACAUUUUUUAAUAGGUUGUUUGGUUUCGUAUUAUUGAAUUUUGUGAGAGCAAAGUCCUUUGUUAGAUAUGUGUAUUGAGAAUAUCUUCUCUCAGUCUCUGGCUUGCCUUUCCAUUUCUUAAUUUUUUUCUUCCAAAGAGCAGAAGUGUUUAGUUCUUAAUGUUAAUGAAGUUUAAUUGAUCAUUUUUUCUUUUCUAUUUAAUAUUUUCUGUGUACUGAGUAAUCUUUCUCAACCCGAGAUCACAACAGUUUUCUUCUAGAAGUCUUAACAGUUUUAGAUUUUCAUUUAUGUAUAUGAUCUGUUUCAGGUUAAUUUUAAUGUAUGAUAUGAGGAAAGGUAGAGGUUCAUUUUUGUCCCUCAUGAGAUUCCUUUAUUUUCUAUAUGAAUAUUCAUUUAUUCUAGCACCACUUUUUUUGUUGAAGUAUAGUUGAUAUACAAUAUUAUUGGGUUGGCCAAAAAGUGCCUUUGGUUUUUAAGUAAAAAUAAAAGACACAUUUUUCAUUUUCACCAAUAAUUUUAUUGAACAACAUAUUCACCAUUUUGUUCCACUACCUUCUGCCAUUUUUCAGGCAACUUCAUAAUUCUGUCUUCCCAAAACUUUUUAUCUUUUUGAGCAAAGAACUCUUCCAGGUGCCUUUUACAGUCUUCCAGGGAAUUGAAAUUUUUUCCAUUAAGAGAAUUUUGUAAAGACCAAAAUAAAUGGAAACCCGAAGGUAUAAUGUCUCAUGAAUACGGCGGAUGAAUCAGAACUUCCCAGCCAAGCUGUAACAGUUUUUGCCUGGUCAUCAAAGAAACAUGCGGUCUGGCGUUACCCUGAUGGAUGAUUAUGUGUUUUCUGUCGACUAAUUCUGGACACUUUUCGUCGAGUGCUGCUUUCAGCUGGUCUAAUUGGGAGCAGUACUUGUUGAAAUUAAUCGUUCGGUUUUCGGGAAGGAGCUCAUAAUAGAGGACUCCCUUUCAAUCUCACCAUAUACAUAACCUCACCUUCUUUGGAUGAAGACUGGACUUUGGUGUGGUUGGUGGUGGUUCAUUUCGCUUGCCCCACGAUCUCUUCUAUUCCACAUUAUUGUACAGUAUCCACUUUUCAUCGCCCAUCACAAUUUGUUUUAAAAACGGAACGUUUUCUUUACAUUUAAGUAGACAAUUGCAUGCAUAAAUACGGUCAAGGUUUUUUUUUUUUUUUUUUUUUGCUUAACUUAUGUGGAACCCAAACAUCAAAGCGUUUAACAUAACCAAGCUGGUACAAAUGAUUUUCAACACUUGAUUUGGAUAUUUUGAGUAGGUCGGCUAUCUCCCGCGUGGUAUAACAUUGCUUGUUCUCAGUUAAUGUCUCGAUUUGAUUGCUGUCAACUUCAACUGGUCUACCGACCGUGGAGCAUUGUCCAGUAAGAAAUCUCCAGCGUGAAACUUCGCAAACCACUUUUGACAUGUUCGAUCAGUCACA